rnacentral:rRNA from 1 species
UACGGGGGGGGCAAGCGUUGUUCAGAAUUACUGGGCGUAAAGGGCUCGUAGGCGGCCAACUAAGUCGGACGUGAAAUCCCUCGGCUUAACCGGGGAACUGCGUCCGAUACUGGAUGGCUUGAGUUCGGGAGAGGGAUGCGGAAUUCCAGGUGUAGCGGUGAAAUGCGUAGAUAUCUGGAGGAACACCGGUGGCGAAGGCGGCAUCCUGGACCGACACUGACGCUGAGGAGCGAAAGCCAGGGGAGCAAACGGG